CUGAGCGCAGAACAUCCUUUCAUAACGUUUAAACAUGCAUCGCAUCUAAGUCUGGCGUCUUAAAGAAAGACCACGAUCAGCUACGUGCGACGUACGGAGUGUGGCUUUCGUAAAGGAUCUUACGGCAGUGGGAGUCUAGAACUGAAGGUCUCGUAUGAUGACGUAUAUCUCCACUCUGUGGACGUGAAUCAGUUUCUUGACUCACCGGAAUACGACACACGUAGCGAAACUUUCACUGGAGGAAAGUACAAGGUAAAUAUACGCGCGUCCGAGGACUGCCUUCUAUUCGUCUUACCUCAAGGUCGCCUUCUAAAAUACCUGUCACGUGACCGCACGCUGGAGCACAUCUUCAACCAACUGAUCGGGAAGGACAUCAGUCAGAAGCUUUACGAGAUACAAGAGCGCGUGUCCGCGUUUCCGGGCAUGGCCGAAGGGACCGGAAACCGCCGAACGUCAAUGGUGCACGUCCGCAAUAGUAUCGUCUCAAACUCGACUACGAAUUUAGCGAAUCUGAAUUGUCUUCAAGGUUGCUACAAGCAGCCGAGUAAUUUGUCGUCCUCCACAACCAACGAAUCUACCGUGUGAAAUGUAGGACGUGAACAAUAUGUUAACUGUUUUAACAGUGUGAAAUGUGGGACGUGAGCAAUAUGUUAGUUAUUUGAUCAGUGUUAAAUGCGUGUUUCAACUACCGGAAAAAACUGAUUACGCACUUUUCUUGACGCAACCCAAUAUCUUACAGGAAAAUUCGCACUUAGAUGUUAAGUCAACUUUGGUGUUAACCGCCGGAGUGCAUUCUGUUCAACACCAAAUUGCGUUACGUUGGUAAUGUGACAUAACAAUCAGCCACGAAUAAGAAUACAAUAUUGAGGAAGUAUCUUAAUACUCUGCACUUCCUCUUAGAGCAGUAUAGCAUGAUAUGUAUUGUGAAGUAUCAUUUGAAUCCGAUUUAGGCAUUUCUUGAAGUUCGUCACUUAAUUUAAAUUUAUAAAUGUAACCACCGGUACUAAAGAGCUCUAGUGUAAUACAGCAAUAUAAUUUAAAAAGAAAAAUGAAAUACGAAAAAACAAACCACCAACAUUCACAUCGUUUAUCCCAAACCUUGGCUCAAACCACUGACUAUUGUAUUAAAUAUCUAACGCCUGAACCACUAUGUUAAGCACUUUAUACUUUUCAUAACGAAUCCACGUACUUUCUCAAAAUCGAACGAAAACAAAAGAAGCAUUUCGAAAUAUCCAUUCGUUUUGCGUUUGUAACGCUUUGAAACUUUAUCAAUGUCUUCUUAUGAUACACUAUAAACAUUGAAUUCAGUACGAGUCUACUCAUUAGUGUUAUUUUGAUUCCUGAUGUGCAGUGUUGUUUUUUUCAAUAUGUGACACAAUUUUCAAAAAUGGUCUUUUCGACAAUCUGCGAACAAGUCCCUUUAACAGUAAUCGAGCUACGCUCACAUGACAAAGAGCGCGACAAAUGGACGGAAAUAUAAUACCACCACUAUAUGCACCUUAACUACUUUGGAGGAAUAUAAAAUUAUAUGUUUACAUAUAUUUGUAAAGACAGUAUGCAUGUGGUCCAUUGAAUACUAAAUUAUGUUUUAAAUGAGUUCCCCGCAAUACAGAAUUAAUUUUAGAUCCUCGCUCUGGGAAAACGGGGCUUAAGACAUGUGCGUAAAGUAUCGUCCCAGAUUAGCCUUUGCAGUCCGCACGAUCUAAUCAAGGACGAAACUUUCUGCUGUAUGGUAUUUUUCGUUUCAAUGAAGUCUCUCCUCAAAGAAAAUGCAGUUAAAGCGGAAAGAGUCACACUACUGACAAUUUACGCACAUGCAUUAAACCCGUUUUAUCAGAGCGAGGCACAUAUAAUAUGUUUGCAUGUUUACUAUAGCUUGUAUUAUUGCAUUGAAAAUGUCGUGAUUCAUCACUGUAUUGAAUAGCUCGUAAUUUAAUGUAUUUAUGGACUCGUUGUGUGUUCAU